rnacentral:rRNA from 1 species
UGGGGAAUAUUGCACAAUGGGCGCAAGCCUGAUGCAGCCAUGCCGCGUGUAUGAAGAAGGCCUUCGGGUUGUAAAGUACUUUCAGCGGGGAGGAAGGCGGUGAGGUUAAUAACCUUGGCGAUUGACGUUACCCGCAGAAGAAGCACCGGCUAACUCCGUGCCAGCAGCCGCGGUAAUACGGAGGGUGCAAGCGUUAAUCGGAAUUACUGGGCGUAAAGCGCACGCAGGCGGUCUGUCAAGUCGGAUGUGAAAUCCCCGGGCUCAACCUGGGAACUGCAUUCGAAACUGGCAGGCUAGAGUCUUGUAGAGGGGGGUAGAAUUCCAGGUGUAGCGGUGAAAUGCGUAGAGAUCUGGAGGAAUACCGGUGGCGAAGGCGGCCCCCUGGACAAAGACUGACGCUCAGGUGCGAAAGCGUGGGGAGCAAACAGG